rnacentral:rRNA from 1 species
GUCUUUUUGAUUAUAAUUUAAAGUCUGACCUGCCCAAUGAGUAUUUGAAUGGCCGCGGUAAUUUGACCGUGCAAAGGUAGCAUAAUCAUUAGUUUUUUAAUUGAAAGCUGGAAUGAAUGGUUGGACGAGAAAAUAACUGUCUCAAUUUAAUUGUAUAUAGAAUUUUAUUUAUAAGUAAAAAAGCUUAUAUGAUUUUAAAAGACGAGAAGACCCUAUAGAGUUUUACAUUUUAUUAUAUUAAUUAAGUUUAGUAUAUUUAUGUUUUUAAUAUAAUAAAGUGUUUUGCUGGGGCAGCAGAAAAAUUAAAUAAACUUUUUUUAUUAUUGUACAUUGAUUUAUGGUUUAAUGAUCCAUUUUUUAUGAUUAUAAGAUUAAAUUACCUUAGGGAUAACAGCGUAAUUUUUUUUUAGAGUUCUUAUCGAAAAAAGAGUUUGCGACCUCGAUGUUGGAUUAAAAUUAACUUUUGGUGUAGGGGCUAAAAGGUUAGGUCUGUUCGACCUUUAAAAUUUUACA